AUAAGGAAUUGUUGCCAGAUGCCCAACCUUACAUUUAAAAUUUUUGAUCUAACGUUUGGCGCCAGCAUUUACCGCUGGCGCCAUCUACUGGAAAACGGCGGUUUUCAAAUUGUACUCCUAAUAUACCUGAACCUGAACCUGAACAAAACUAUAGACAAAUACAAAAACGAACCUCAGUUCUAAAUACACGUAACAUAAGAACAGGAACUUUAAUGCAUCAGCUAUCCAGUGAUAUAUUAGAAAUACAAAAAAAAGUACAAA